ensembl:lncRNA
CCCUCCCAUAAAAUAGGCCAAAUUUAAAAGGAAAAUGUAUUAAUAGAUUCUAAAAUAUAUCUUUAAAUAGCUGUCUUUUCUAAAUAUUCCUAAACAUUUAUAAUUUUCCCCCUACUGGCUGUUUCUUACUACAUGUUUUAAAGAUGAGAAAAAAUGGUGAAAAAUGUAUUUCUCAUGGUUGAAAUAGUACCACAAUGCAAGCUCUGUAAAGACUCCAAUAGAAACUGUUAAGAAACAAGCUAUCAGAGCACCAGAAGAAAUGAUGGGACAAAAUACUUAAAAUAGAUUCACCAAAUAAAUUUAAAUUAAUAGAUACAUAGAUGAUUCAAACAACAUCAAUGACUUAAGAUGUUGAUUUUUUUUUGUCAGCUCAACAUCCAGCUCUAGUAAAAAGUAACACUUUCUUGGCCAAUGUCAACAACAAAAAACUACAAAACCUAUUUCAUAGUGGGUUAGGAGGACUAAUUCUUGAUAAUCUCAUCCCUUGAAGACAAGGUUCCUUACUUCAAGAGCUAGGAGAAACAGAAUCCAAGCAGACAUUAUUAGCAUAUUUUUAUACAGAACAUUUUUAGCUUUGUAUAUAAAUGUGAAUUUCUCAUCUUGGAAUGUAUAUUUUUCUCUCAACUUGUUCCAUUUAUAGCUAAGAAAAAAAUAGGGGGUCUUGUAUAGUAAUGUGUAGGAAAAAUAUAAAGGAAUAUAUUUGACAGUGCCAAGUCAAACAGACAUUGAGUCACAUACAUAUCAAAUCUUCUGAGAAUAAAAAACAGUGACAUCUUCUAUUAGCAUGUUUUUCCUUCCAGGUGGAACAAUGAGGAACCUGGAGUAUUUGUUGACCUACAUUGAAACCCACAUUGGAAGGGCUUCCUCCCCUGAAAAGGUCUCCUUUCUCUGAAGUUCCUCUUGCAGAUAACUGAGUGUAGGCUCAGAGAGGUGCGGUGUGGGACAGAGAAAGGGAAAAAAGAAAAGGGAAUAAAAGUAGCUGACUCUAAAAUAUUAAUACAACCCAUCAGUAAUAGAAUUAAAUACAUUGAAUAUUUUACUAGCAAUUCUAAUAUUUUCCUAUUUGCUUUAUUGGGCAUAUUUGGGUGUUCAAAGAAAUUUGCUAACAAAAAUUCUGUUAUAGUUAGACACAGUAAGUUAGCCUAUAAUUUGGAGGUAUAGGACCUUACCAGGCUUAAUUGGAAAUGCCUGCCUUUGAUCUGUUUCAUAGAUGAGAGAAAGCAACCUGCGUUAGGGGAGAAGUUCAAAAUGUCAACUGGUGGAAUGCACACAAUACCUGUGUAAUGGCAAUCAGUUCAUCAUCAACCACUUUUUCAUAAGGACCUAGUCAACUGUUUUUUCAUUAGUUUCUCAUGCACAAACACUGCAGACUGAUACCAAAUCAUAACAAACGCCAGCUAUUAAAGGAUAGGAAGGACAAUGCAAAUAAGACUUUCAAAUAAUAAAGGAACGUAAAAAAAAUAAAACUUUAAAAAUCUAAACCUUUUCUUCAUGAUAAAGACUUUUAGGUCCCACACCUCUAAAAUCCCAUCUUGAAAAUUUAAACAAAAUUGCUGCAGUAAUUUACCAUUACUAACAUUAUCCCACUGAUGGAUCUUGUAUUAAUGCUGUUAAUCUUUAUCUACAUCAUUACAAUGAUCAUCAUAUUUAUAGAAUAUUCCACUGAAA